rnacentral:rRNA from 1 species
UACAGAGGUGCCGAGCGUUAGGCGGAAUCACUGGGCUUAAAGCGUGUGUAGGCGGACGCCUAAGUACCUUGUGAAAUCCCACGGCUCACCCGUGGAACGGCUGGGUAUACUGGGCGUCUUGAGCCACCUAGGGGCCAGCGGAACAAGUGGUGGAGCGGUGAAAUGCGUAGAUAUCAUUUGGAACGCCAACGGUGAAAACAGCUGGCUGGGGGUGUGCUGACGCUGAGACACGAAAGCCAGGGGAGCGAACGGG